UACGGAGGGUGCAAGCGUUGUCCGGAUUUAUUGGGUUUAAAGGGUGCGUAGGCGGCCUAUUAAGUCAGUGGUGAAAGCCCUCAGCUCAACUGAGGAACUGCCAUUGAUACUGAUAGGCUUGAGUACAGACGAGGUAGGCGGAAUUGAAGAUGUAGCGGUGAAAUGCAUAGAUAUCUUCAAGAACACCGAUUGCGUAGGCAGCUUACUAGGCUGUAACUGACGCUGAGGCACGAAAGCGUGGGGAGCGAACAGG
rnacentral:rRNA from 1 species